AUCUCCUCUUGACCUAACUAGCAGCCAGCCUCCAUCUCAAUUAAUUUUUUUCGCCGCUCUCCAUCUCUCAAAGAACAAAACAAGCAGAUCUAUCGUCUCCCUAGCUCUAUCGUCUCCCUAACCUAAUAUAAACAUCUCUCAAGCAGAUCUGGAAGAACAAAACAAGAACUUGACUACCAUGGAGCGUGGGGCAUGAAUAUUGUGAGCUCUGUGGGAAUUAUCAUGGCCAACAAGCAGCUCAUGUCCCCCCAUGGCUUUGGCUUUGGCUUUGAUGAAUGCAGCUUGCUUUGUCAAAACUUUUGGAUGGAUGGAUGCUGAUGUUUUGAAAGGAUAUUUGUUAUUUUUUUUGUCAUGGGUUGUAAUCGUUAUAAUUUGGAUUUCUUGCUUUAUUAUUUGUGUGGGUGUAUUAUUUAUAAUUUGAAUGAGUUCAGCAUUUGAAAA